ensembl:snRNA U6 U6 spliceosomal RNA
GUGCUCGCCUUGGCAGCACAUACACUAAAAUGGGAACAAUAUGGAGAAGAUUAGCAUGACCCCUAAAAAGUAAAAAAUAAACCAAUAAUGAUGCACUAAUUCGGU